rnacentral:rRNA from 1 species
GCACGGGGAGGAUCUAAGCAUGCGAGUCAUUGUAGUAAUACAAGGCAGACGGCUCAGUAACGCGUAGUCAACCUACCCUAAGGACGGAGAUAACCUCGGGAAACUGAGAAUAAUACCCGAUAGAACAUAGCUCCUGGAAUGGUUUAUGUUUCAAAUAAUUUAUUGCCCUAGGAUGGGACUGCGGCCUAUCAGUUUGUUGGUGAGGUAAUGGCCCACCAAGACUAUUACAGGUACGGGCUCUGAGAGGAGUGGCCCGGAGAUGGGUACUGAGACACGGACCCAGGCCCUAUGGGGCGCAGCAGGCGAGAAAACUUUGCAAUGUGCGAAAGCACGACAAGGUUAAUCCGAAUGGUUUCUGCUAAAGGAACCUUUUGUCAGUCCUAGAAACACUGAUGAAUAAGGGGUGGGCAAGUUCUGGUGUCAGCCGCCGCGGUAAAACCAGCACCUCAAGUGGUCAGGAUGAUUAUUGGGCCUAAAGCAUCCGUAGCCGGCUUUGCAAGUUUUCGGUUAAAUCCAUGCGCUCAACGUAUGGGCUGCCGGGAAUACUGCAAAGCUAGGGAGUGGGAGAGGUAGACGGUACUCGGUAGGAAGGGGUAAAAUCCUUUGAUCUAUUGAUGACCACCUGUGGCGAAGGCGGUCUACCAGAACACGUCCGACGGUGAGGGAUGAAAGCUGGGGGAGCAAACCGGAUUAGAUACCCGGGUAGUCCCAGCUGUAAACUAUGCAAACUCAGUGAUGCAUUGGCUUGAUGCCAAUGCAGUGCUGCAGGGAAGCCGUUAAGUUUGCCGCCUGGGGAAGUACGUACGCAAGUAUGAAACUUAAAGGAAUUGGCGGGGGAGCACCACAAGGGGUGAAGCCUGCGGUUCAAUUGGAGUCAACGCCGGA